GGCUCAGUGGUGUAGUGGCAACACGCGCUCUCGGUGUGGGUGAAACGUGGGUUCAACUCUCGCUUGAGGUU